UACGUAGGGGACGAGCGUUAUCCGGAUUUACUGGGCGUAAAGCGUCCGCAGGUGGCAGUUCAAGUCUGCUGUCAAAGACCGGGGCUUAACUUCGGAAAGGCAGUGGAAACUGAACAGCUAGAGUAUGGUAGGGGCAGAGGGAAUUCCUGGUGUAGCGGUGAAAUGCGUAGAGAUCAGGAAGAACAUCGGUGGCGAAGGCGCUCUGCUGGACCAUAACUGACACUCAGGGACGAAAGCUAGGGGAGCGAAUGGG
rnacentral:rRNA from 1 species